CACGUAGUUAGCCGCGGCUUGUUUUCAGGGUACCGUCAUAUUUCGUCCCCUGUCAAAGAAGUUCACAACCCGAAAGCCUUCUUCCUUCACGCGGCAUUGCUGGUUCAGGGUUUCCCCCAUUGACCAAUAUUCCCCA
rnacentral:rRNA from 1 species